rnacentral:rRNA from 1 species
AACGAACGCUGGCGGCAGGCCUAACACAUGCAAGUCGAACGCCGCAGCAAUACGGAGUGGCGAACGGGUGAGUAAUGUGUGGGUAAUCUGCCUUUCAGAGGGGGAUAACCCGGCGAAAGCUGGGCUAAUACCCCAUAAUGUUGCUUGGUCCUCGGACCGAGUAAUCAAAUGAUGGCCUCUAUUUAUAGGCUAUCGCUGAAAGAUGAGCCCACAUUCUACACGCUUGUUGGUGGGGUAACGGCCCACCAAGGCGACGACGGAUAGCCGGCCUGAGAGGGUGUCCGGCCACACUGGAACUGAGAUACGGUCCAGACUCCUACGGGAGGCAGCAGUGGGAAUUUUUCGCAAUGGGCGAAAGCCUGACGAAGCAACGCCGCGUGGAGGAUGACGGCCCUCGUGGUCUUAAACUCCU